rnacentral:rRNA from 1 species
CCUACGGGUGGCAGCAGUAAGGAAUAUUGGUCAAUGGACGCAAGUCUGAACCAGCCAUGCCGCGUGGAGGAUGAAGGCCCUCUGGGUUGUAAACUUCUUUUAUCUGGGAAGAAACCUGUUUUUUCUAAAGCAGUUGACGGUACCAGAUGAAUAAGCACCGGCUAACUCCGUGCCAGCAGCCGCGGUAAUACGGAGGGUGCAAGCGUUAUCCGGAUUCACUGGGUUUAAAGGGUGCGUAGGCGGGCAGGUAAGUCAGUGGUGAAAUCUCCGGGCUUAACCCGGAAACUGCCGUUGAUACUAUCUGUCUUGAAUAUCGUGGAGGUGAGCAGAAUAUGUCAUGUAGCGGUGAAAUGCUUAGAUAUGACAUAGAAUACCGAUUGCGAAGGCAGCUCGCUACACGAAGAUUGACGCUGAGGCACGAAAGCGUGGGGAUCAAACAG